GAUGAAGAACGUAGCGAAAUGCGAUAAGUAGUGUGAAUUGCAGAAUUCAGUGAUUCAUCGAAUCUUUGAACGCACAUUGCGCCCCUUGGUAUUCCAUGGGGCAUGCCUGUUCGAGCGUCAUUUGUACCUUCAAGCUCUGCUUGGUGUUGGGUGUUUGUCUCGCCUCUGCGUGUAGACUCGCCUCAAAACAAUUGGCAGCCGGCGUAUUGAUUUCGGAGCGCAGUACAUCUCGCGCUUUGCACUCAUAACGACGACGUCCAAAAGUACAUUUUUACACUCUUGACCUCGGAUCAGGUAGGGAUACCCGCUGAACUUAAGCAUAUCAAUAAGCGGAGGA
rnacentral:misc_RNA from 1 species